GUUCUCAGAAGCUCCACGCAGCAGCGUUUUCACAUUCUAGGGCCUGGAAUGGAGCCGGGGCGGCGGGGGAGGCGGUCAGAGCACCCCCAGUCCUCGCCUGGUUCCAUCCUGGGGUGGGAGAGGUCCGGGUGAGCGGGAACUGGCCGCGUUGCCCUUGUCAGCAAGAGAAACAAGUAGGGACACUGGGAAUCUGCAGCUGGACAACUGUGCCCGAGAGAAGAGGGGAGGCCCGAGGAACGGAAAGUAUGUCCUUGCCCACAGGUUAUACUCCACGAGCAGGCCCGUUGCAAUCACACCCUGCAAGUCGCAGCCAGGAAGUCCUCCUGCAGAAAUGCUCGCAGGCGUGCUGAUGAUGGACUGCAAGGUUGUUCGUUGCGAGCGUUGCUGGAAACGGCAGAAGUCUGGAAACAAUCUAAACGCUAUCAAUAAAGGCCUGAUUAAAUAAUUUAUGGUCUGUGCAUCCGAUGGCACACUCUGAAGAAAGCUUCUCGUACACUGGUCGCAUUUCUGUGGUUUGACUGGUAGUGGCUGGGGAGGCUUCACAUGGCAAUGCACGAAACCCCAGAAGAAAGAGAGCAACCCAUUGCAAACACUUUCCAGCCUUUACUUGCGUGAUGUUUGCUGAAGUCCCUUUGGCCAAAGCACCUCACACAACCAAGCCCAAAUUCAAGGGGGAGAAACAAACUCCAUGUCUUCAAGUACAGUGGACAUCAGUUUUAAUCUACCACAUGGUGGAGCAGAGCCACCCUGGAGGUGGGCACGGUUAGGCCCUGGAAGUAGCCUUCUUGAGGUUGCUGAUACCAGAGGGUCAGCUGCAGAGUGGGGCCGCAGGCAGCUCCGAGCAGGGAUGCUGGACCUGGAGGAAUUGCUGGAGAGCCGGGAAGAAAGGACACCUAAGGAGCUGCCUCCACAGCGUGGGUGCGACUAGCAGGCGAAAAACCCGAGGACGGUGUGGUAUUGGUGGUGACAGGGGAGGUGCAAAACACUUGACGGUUUCAAACACACACGCAGAGAUUGUGAGGGUGGGGAAUAAGAAGGAUGCCUUUCCAAAGAUUCCAGACAAAAGUUCUGGCGCUUAUGGGCACGUCUGAAGGAAAAGAACUCAGUGAGAAAGAGUUUCUCGCCUCUUCUUUAUUACUCGAGAUGGCCACAUGUGUACCCAGGCCUUGUGCCAGGGUGCACCUCGAGCCACCCACCUGGCCUGUGCCUGGCUCUGAGUGGGGGGGGGGGUCCCAUCUCAGAGUAGCUCUGAGAGUGCUAAGCACUCUGGGUGAGCCCUUCUGUGGGCAAACAGGGAAAAUCCUUCAUCAUCUCUACCCUGUCAUUUGGGGUCCCUAGCUAACCCUGAGAACUUUCUCCUCUGUUCCAAGCGUCUACUGAGAGCUUUGCCAGAGGCUGUGUUCCCUGAGGCCUUGCUCACUCCCUUCAUACACAUGCCUGGGAAUGCAUAUGUGUGCAUGUAUGGACAUUCAUGUAGCCGCUACAAGGCAAGGAACUGAGAGAAGUGACCGUAGCACUUUCUAGGCAUCCAACUUUGUCCCCUGCUCCCACUCCAGGCCAAGUUAGGUGACCCUCCCUCUCAUCAUGCCCUCUGCCUAUUUUAUUGCUGAAUUUCCAUACUGUUUCAAAUUGUUCAGGGGUGCCUGGGUGGCUUAGUUGGUUAAGUGUCCGACUUCAGCUCAGGUCAUGAUCUCACAGAUUGUGAGUUCGAGCCCCACGUCGGGCUCUGUGCUAACAGCUCAGAGCCUGGAGCCUGCUUUGGACUCUGUGUCUCCCUCUCUCUCUCUCUGCUCUUCCCCCACUCGUUCUCUAUCUCUCUCUCCUUCAAAAUUAAAUAAACAUUAAAAAACUUAAAAAAAAUAAAAUACGAUUGUUCAGCACUGGUUAAAGACUAGUACUAAAGAAUUACUGUCACAUUUUUAGGAGUGGUAGUAGUAUUGUGGUUAUGUUUUGUUUUAUCUUUUUUCUUUAAUAAGUUUUUUUUAUGUUUAUUUAUUUCUGAGACAGA